GCCUGAGGGACAAGUACAUCCAUCAAUAAGCCAAUGAGUUUGAUAAUUCGCCACGCAAGUUAAAUGAACCUGACGACAAAAUGGAUCACACUGUAGCUGAGUAUGAGCAAGAUGGACCAGAUACAAGCAUGGAGGACGCAAACCAGGAUGAUAUGACGCCUCUUAACAGUGAACUGGAGGAGAAGCGCCUGGACUUGCUCACAAGUCUACCGCCAGACUAAUAUGUAAAGGACAGAUGCCAGGUGGGAGAGCUGCUAGAGGUUAAGUAUCGAGACAAAUAGCAUGAAACAAAUGAAGUCCCAGUCGACAGUAUGUUGCAGGCAGAAAUCGACCAGCUGCUUCGUGCGAUGGACUUAGCCAAAGUAGCAGUAACAUUUUGAGGAGAUUUUUUCUGCACUGAGUAAGAACUAUUUUCAGCGGACUAACAGAAGCCAAAUCACAAUCACAUUUGAGUGAUGAGUAUUGCCAGGAGGUCAUCUUGCAUAAAGAUAAACUCAAGGUGGUGCUUCGGGAAGAUGAGCCCCGUAUUAUCUCACUGGUUCGGGAAGUUAUAAGAUUUACCAAGCUCUUGGAGGAAGAGAAAGUUCUGGAGGUGCCAGCCUCAGCAGUUUGCAAUCCAAGCAGCUGAAAUCCUCCACUCUCAUCCAGAAACGAAGAAUACGAAAUUAAAGUAAACAGAUUUAUGAGAGGUGCACUUGCCCUUCGUCGUUUGUCCGGAUGCCAGCGGUUCUUUCACGUUGCCUUGCCUAGAUCAGAAGGUUUUUGCAUUACAUUUAUCACAAGAUUGAUGGCUCCAGUGGUCAAUCG